GGUAAAUUUGAACUCUAGGAGUGGCUCAGGGUAUGAAUGUACAGAGCCAAGACCAUGGGAAGACACAAAGAGAGGGUGACUAAGUGGAAGAAGUCCUUGGGAGAGUCCAGUCUGUAGCACACUGAUCUUUGUCACCUAUUCUUCAGUAUGAUAAGGUAAAUUUCUACUGCUUAACCUACCCAGUCUGCAGUGUUUUUGUUAUAACAGCCACAGCUAACUGAUACAGAUAAUAGCAUCUUAUACUUGUUUAAAUGCAUCUUUGCCCUCUUGUGCCUCAUGAAAUGUUCAGGGUGCAAUUUAUGCAGCAUUUAACACCUAUUAUAUCUAUCUUGUCUGAACUUGUAUUACCUUUUCAACUUGCUCAUUAAACACAUUUCAUGCAAUUUACUUCAUGAUACACUUCUAUUGAGUUUUUGGAACUUGCUGUCCAUCUCUAGUGAGCAUGACUUAACCAUUUGUUUGAACAGGUGAUGUAUGCUUGUGGUAAAUAUUUUAGACAGUAUGAAAGAUGAUAUGGCAAAACAUGUGGCUAACUCACCCCUUAGUUCCCUGUGCCCUAAGUUUUCUCCCCUAGAGGCAACUCUUACUAUCAGUGUACUCUUCGA
rnacentral:lncRNA from 1 species